GGCUGGGUGGCUCAGUUGGUUAAGCAUCUGCCUUAAAAAAAAAUUAAAAAAUUAAAAAAAAAGAUACAAAAGGUAGGAACAAAUAGUUCAACACUCUCCAAGCCA
rnacentral:tRNA from 1 species